AGCUGAUCUAAAAGCUAGAAAUCUUGGGGUCAUUACUCUUUCUCUCCUGCCUCACCUAGUUGGACCAUAAAUCCCAUCCAUCUGACUCAGAAUGUAUGUUGGGGUCAGAGCCAGACUGCUUGGGUACAAGUCUUGGAUCUGCCAUUUCCGAUGUCUGUGACCAUGGAUUGCUGGAUUGUCGGGGAGUAACUGAAGGCAGAUAUUGAUUUGUUAAGAACAAAUGAGAGAAAAUGACCAGAACAAAUAAACUAUUGGGGAACCAACUCAUAGAAAUUUGUCCCCAUCAAAAUGCUCA